ensembl:lncRNA
GCUCCAAAGUCACUGCAGAUGGUGACUGCAGCCAUGAAAUUAAAAACACUUGCCCCUUGGAAGGAAAGCUAUGACAAACCUAGACAGCAUAUUAAAAAACAGAGACAUCACUUUGCUGAUAAAGGUCUGUACCGUCAAAGCUAUGGCUUUCCCAGUAGUCAUGUACAGAUGUGAGAGCUGGACAAUAUAGAAGGCAGAGUGCUGAAGAAUGUAUGCUUUUGAACUGUGGUGCUGGAGAAGACUCUUGAGAAUCCCUUGGACUGUAAGGAGAUCAAAUCAGUCAAUCCUAAGGGAAAUCAACCCUGAAUAUUUAUUGGAAGGACUGUUGCUGAAGCUCCAAUACUUUGGCCACUUGAUGCAAACAGUCGACUCAUUGGAAAAGACCCUGAUCCUGGGAAAGAUUGAGGGCAAAAGGAGAAGUGGGUGGCAGAGGAUGAGAUGAUUAAUAGCAUCACCGACUCAACGGACAUGAAUUUGAGCAAAUUCUGGGAAAUCAUGGAGGACAGAAGAGCUUGGCAUGCUACAGUCUAUGCAGAGUCAGGCACCCUUUAGCUACUUCCUGAACAACAACGAAAACUGGUGGGACUGGAAAUUUAAAGAACCUGCUUUAAAUUGGAUAGCCACAAGAGGGAGCUCUCCGGUUAGACUGGAAUGUUGGACACUGAUGGCCGGAAUAACGUUCUCACUUGGGACCACCAAAACAUGUGACGUAGAGACGACCAAAACCCUAAGGCUGUGGCCCACUGGACUUAUAAAUCAGACGGCCUUCUUGAGCUGAGGUUUCUGUGGGAGGGAGGCUGGAUUGAUCACUGAAUUGUCUCUUGUUUACAAGUUGCCGGAAGUUGUAGUUCUUUACUGUUCAGGACUCGGUGGUGAAGUGUUACACUCAGUGGUGAUAUCCUGAGACAGUUAAAUAUGAAGGGCAUUGUGGAGUGUGUGUGUCUACUCUCAGAGAGAAUACUCAAGGCAUAGUUACCACUUCAUAGUGUCAGCACAACUCUGCUCUCUAAGCACCACAGAAAAGGAGGGCAUCUCUGGAAGCACGUGGGCUCACGGGAACUUUCCCUGUUGUGCUCUGGAAGUUCAGGACCCAGGGCUGGGACCGUGAGAGCGGUGCCCAUCUCCAAAUGGGCACCUCAGAAAAGCCAAGACUGCAGCCCGCGCAGGUUCAAUUUAGGUAGAAUAUGUGUGGUCUCGAGGGUGAGGUGAGCUAGACACCCCGGGUCAAGACUGGAGGUGGUGCUCCCCGUGGUCCUGGCCUGUGUCCUCCACCCCUCCUCUGCCACGGUCCAUCCCCAAAAGCCCUCUCAGGCACAGCCUCUGGCUUAGUAGUCUGGAGCCUCCCCUUCCCUGAUCCCACCAGUGCUGGGAAAGAUUCAGUCUUUUACUCCUCAGCUUGAUUUCAGGACAUCACUAGUUCCUUCAGAAGCAUCUGUGUUUUAACUGGGCUGUAAUUUUUGACCUAAAACACUUUCUUUCUCCUAUCUUCCUUCUGUCCCGACUCCCAGCAUCUUAAAGGAGUCUCAAGUGCUGCCCAAACCCGAACAGCCCUCUCCAUCAGAUGAAAGGUUCCUCCCAGGCAAGGCUCCUGUUCGUUGCUUCUGUGGGUUUCCAAGGGCAAAACUAUGGGAUGUUUCUUCACUGAAGGCCAUCCCUCUGAUAUCCUGUUCUCCGCACAUCUGGUCGCUGCCUUCCUGUCCUCAGCUGGUUUAAUCCUGGUAGCAGGCACUUCUGAAUCACGCGGUGGGGGCCGAGAGCGCUCACAGGCUCCCAGUCAGGCUCCGAGCGCUCAGCAACCUCUGACAGAGCCCACGUGCCGCCAUCUUCCUCUGCCCAGGCCUUGCCUUGGGGGUGAAGGAUCACCCUCAGGCUGAAUGGGGUUUCCGUCCUCUUAUCCCAGGGGAGACUUCCAUUUUGUGAAGUGGCUGAAUCAUGUCCCUGUGGGACUCACGUCCAGGUUCUUUGACUUCUGGGUGCAAACACUGCAGGGACGGCCACCAGCCUCCUCAGCUUGGCCCAGGUCCUCUGAGCUGAUCCUCCCUGUGCCCCUUGUCUCCUUUCCCAUUUACCCCUGGCCUCAGACGCUGAGCGGCCCCCAGCUCCUCUUGCUGGACCCACAGGCCUAUCCCAGCCUCUCUUCGCCUCAGAAAAAUCAGUUUUUAAACAGCCCAUUAAUGUCCUGACAAGAAUUUCCCCCAAGUCCCUGAUUAGGGUGCCCAUUUCCCAGCCACACAGCCCCCUCCUCAUACCCCUCUGUGGGGAUUUAUGGUAGAAACGUGUGGAAGAGUGUGGAGGAGAAACACGUGGAGGAGGCAACCAUUAUCUUGCCCUCAGAGGUCCUGAUCAUCUGUCCUUAACGUUUCAAAAAUACGGAACCUACAAUUGCUGCUUGAGGCGGGGAUGUUGUUGGUUGUUUUUCAACCAAUAUCCUCAGAAUAUCAUAUUACUCAGGCCCUGCUGUCUUGGGUAUGCCCCCACUGCAGAGAUCAGCCAGUCCUGGCUCUUACUUCAUUUAUCUGAAAAGCCCUCCAUUACCCACCCUCAAAUCUGACCUCAUUCCUGGCUCCUCUGGGAUGUACACACGGACACCAGGAGACCAGCAGGGUUCCACACUGGUUUAACUAACUUUGAAAAACAGAAAAACAUAAACACUGAGAAAAGUGAGACGCUAUCAUUUUUGCUUCAAAUAGUAGUUCAUUGUCUUCAAUUUCAGGGCAUCCAGAAUAUAUAAUUUUGUCAGCCUGUUAACCACAAUUUUAGUAAAAGAGAUAAAAUCCAGCCUGUUAAAAAAAAAAAAGCAUGAGAUAUUCUCUUGCUGCUGCUGCUGUUGCUAAGUCACCUCAGUCGUGUCUGACUUUGUGCGACCCCGUAGACGGCAGCCCACUAGGCUCCCCCGUCCCUGGGAUUCUCCAGGCAAGAACAAU